ACCGGACAACAACACUAAACCCAUGUCUAGAGUUUGAAAGAUGGUUCUGCUAUCACUCUUGGAUGGACCUGCGGUGCAUUAGCUAGUUGGUAAGGUAACGGCUUACCAAGGCAAUGAUGCAUAGCCGAGUUGAGAGACUGAUCGGCCACAUUGGGACUGAGACACGGCCCAAACUCCUACGGGAGGCAGCAGUAGGGAAUCUUCCACAAUGGACGAAAGUCUGAUGGAGCAACGCCGCGUGAGUGAAGAAGGGUUUCGGCUCGUAAAGCUCUGUUGGUAGUGAAGAAAGAUAGAGGUAGUAACUGGCCUUUAUUUGACGGUAAUUACUUAGAAAGUCACGGCUAACUACGUGCCAGCAGCCGCGGUAAUACGUAGGUGGCAAGCGUUGUCCGGAUUUAUUGGGCGUAAAGCGAGUGCAGGCGGUUCAAUAAGUCUGAUGUGAAAGCCUUCGGCUCAACCGGAGAAUUGCAUCAGAAACUGUUGAACUUGAGUGCAGAAGAGGAGAGUGGAACUCCAUGUGUAGCGGUGGAAUGCGUAGAUAUAUGGAAGAACACCAGUGGCGAAGGCGGCUCUCUGGUCUGCAACUGACGCUGAGGCUCGAAAGCAUGGGUAGCGAACAGGAUUAGAUACCCUGGUAGUCCAUGCCGUAAACGAUGAGUGCUAAGUGUUGGGAGGUUUCCGCCUCUCAGUGCUGCAGCUAACGCAUUAAGCACUCCGCCUGGGGAGUACGACCGCAAGGUUGAAACUCAAAGGAAUUGACGGGGGCCCGCACAAGCGGUGGAGCAUGUGGUUUAAUUCGAAGCAACGCGAAGAACCUUACCAGGUCUUGACAUCCAGUGCAAACCUAAGAGAUUAGGUGUUCCCUUCGGGGACGCUGA
rnacentral:rRNA from 1 species